CGGUGUUUAACUGGCGUGAUGUGGGACGUCCUACCGGUGGGCUUAGCCUCGCGAGGGGCGGCCCAACUAAUAUCCCGUCGCGGUGCUCUUUACUGAGUGUCGAGUCGGGCCGGUACGUUUACUUUGAACAAAUUAGAGUGCUUAAAGCAGGCUAUCCUCGCCUGAAUACUGCGUGCAUGGAAUAAUGGAAUAGGACCUCGGUUCUAUUUUGUUGGUUUUCGGAACCCCGAGGUAAUGAUUAAUAGGGACAGAUGGGGGCAUUCGUAUUGCGACGUUAGAGGUGAAAUUCUUGGAUCGUCGCAAGACGGACAGAAGCGAAAGCAUUUGCCAAAAAUGUUUUCAUUAAUCAAGAACGAAAGUUAGAGGUUCGAAGGCGAUCAGAUACCGCCCUAGUUCUAACCAUAAACGAUGCCAGCUAGCGAUCCGCCGAAGUUCCUCCGAUGACUCGGCGGGCAGCUUCCGGGAAACCAAAGCUUUUGGGUUCCGGGGGAAGUAUGGUUGCAAAGCUGAAACUUAAAGGAAUUGACGGAAGGGCACCACCAGGAGUGGAGCCUGCGGCUUAAUUUGACUCAACACGGGAAACCUCACCAGGCCCAGACACCGGAAGGAUUGACAGAUUGAUAGCUCUUUCUUGAUUCGGUGGGUGGUGGUGCAUGGCCGUUUUUAGUUGGUGGAGCGAUUUGUCUGGUUAAUUCUGAUAACGAACGAGACUCUAGCCUGCUAAAUAGGCGUACCUUAUGGUAUCGCGAAGGCCCCCGGCUUCGGCCGGUGGGUUUUUACUACCAACGUACAAACAAAUCUUUUUAGAGGGACAGGCGG
rnacentral:rRNA from 1 species